rnacentral:rRNA from 1 species
GACGAACGCUGGCGGCGUGCCUAAUACAUGCAAGUUGAGCGCUGAAGGUUGGUACUUGUACCGACUGGAUGAGCAGCGAACGGGUGAGUAACGCGUGGGUAAUCUGCCUUUGAGCGGGGGACAACAUUUGGAAACGAAUGCUAAUACCGCAUAAAAACUUUAAACACAAGUUUUAAGUUUGAAAGAUGCAAUUGCAUCACUCAAAGAUGAUCCCGCGUUGUAUUAGCUAGUUGGUGAGGUAAAGGCUCACCAAGGCGAUGAUACAUAGCCGACCUGAGAGGGUGAUCGGCCACAGUGGGAAUGGGACACGGCCCAAACUCCUACGGGAGGCAGCAGUAGGGGAUCUUCGGCAAUGGACGAAAGUCUGAACGAGCAACGCCGCGUGAGUGAAGAAGGUUUUCGGAUCGUAAAACUCUGUUGGUAGAGAAGAACGUUGGUGAGAGUGGAAAGCUCAUCAAGUGACGGUAACUACCCAGAAAGGGACGGCUAACUACGUG